rnacentral:rRNA from 1 species
AUUGAACGCUGGCGGCAGGCCUAACACAUGCAAGUCGAACGAGUGGCGGACGGGUGAGUAAUGUCUGGGAAUCUGCCUGGUAGUGGGGGAUAACGUCCGGAAACGGGCGCUAAUACCGCAUACUAUCAGAUGAGCCUAGGUCGGAUUAGCUAGUUGGUGGGGUAAAGGCCUACCAAGGCGACUAUCCGUAACUGGUCUGAGAGGAUGAUCAGCCACACUGGAACGGAGACACGGUCCAGACUCCUACGGGAGGCAGCAGUGGGGAAUAUUGGACAAUGGGCGCAAGCCGGAUCCAGCCAUACCGCGUGGGUGAAGAAGGCCUUCGGGUUGUAAAGCCCUUUUGUUGGGAAAGCGGUACCCAAAGAAUAAGCACCGGCUAACUUCGUGCCAGCAGCCGCGGUAAUAC